AAGGAUCAUUAUCUAUUUGUUGGAUGUGGUCGCGGCCCCCGUAUUCCGGGUGGUAGGGGUAACACCCUCACGCGCCACAUGCACUAAUCCUCUUUUUACGAGCACCUUCUGUUCUCCUUCGGCGGGGCAACCUGCCGUUGGAACCAACAAAACCUUUUGAAUUCAGUAUUACCUGUUCUGAUACAAACAAUCGUAACAACUUUCAACAAUGGAUCUCUUGGCUCUGGCAUCGAUGAAGAACGCAGCGAAAUGCGAUAAGUAGUGUGAAUUGCAGAAUUCAGUGAAUCAUCGAAUCUUUGAACGCACAUUGCGCCCCUCGGUAUUCCGUGGGGCAUGCCUGUUCGAGCGUCAUCUACACCCUCAAGCUCUGCUUGGUGUUGGGCGUCUGUCCCGCCUCUGCGCGCGGACUCGCCCCAAAUUCAUUGGCAGCGGUCCUUGCCUCCUCUCGCGCAGCACAUUGCGUUUCUUGAGGUGCGCGGCCCGCGUCCACGAAGCAACAUUUACCGUCUUUGACCUCGGAUCAGGUAGGGAUACCCGCUGAACUUAAG
rnacentral:rRNA from 1 species